rnacentral:rRNA from 1 species
GACAGAGGGUGCAAACGUUUGUUCGGAAUUACUGGGCGUAAAGCGCGUGUAGGCGGCCAUCUAAGUCGGGCGUGAAAUCCCACGGCUCAACCGUGGAAGUGCACUCGAAACUGGAUGGCUAGAGUCCUGGAGAGGAAGGUGGAAUGCUUGGUGUAGAGGUGAAAUUCGUAGAUAUCAAGCGGAACACCGGUGGCGAAGGCGGCCUUCUGGACAGUGACUGACGCUGAGACGCGAAAGCGUGGGGAGCAAACAGG